rnacentral:rRNA from 1 species
AUACAGAGGGUGCGAGCGUUAAUCGGAAUUACUGGGCGUAAAGCGCGCGUAGGCGGCUUGGUCAGUCGGAUGUGAAAGCCCCGGGCUCAACCUGGGAAUGGCAUUCGAUACUGCCAGGCUAGAGUAUGGGAGAGGGAAGUGGAAUUUCCGGUGUAGCGGUGAAAUGCGUAGAUAUCGGAAGGAACACCAGUGGCGAAGGCGACUUCCUGGCCCAAUACUGACGCUGAGGUGCGAAAGCGUGGGGAGCGAACAGGAUUAGAUACCCUAGUAGUCC